rnacentral:rRNA from 1 species
CAGCCGCCGCGGUAACACGGAGGGCGCGAGCGUUACCCGGAUUUACUGGGCGUAAAGGGCGUGUAGGCGGCCUGGGGCGUCCCAUGUGAAAGGCCACGGCUCAACCGUGGAGGAGCGUGGGAUACGCUCAGGCUAGAGGGUGGGAGAGGGUGGUGGAAUUCCCGGAGUAGCGGUGAAAUGCGCAGAUACCGGGAGGAACGCCGAUGGCGAAGGCAGCCACCUGGUCCACUUCUGACGCUGAAGCGCGAAAGCGUGGGGAGCAAACCGGAUUAGAUACCCCUGUAGUCCCUGUCUCUUAUAC